rnacentral:rRNA from 1 species
AACGAACGUUGGCGGCGUGCCUAACACAUGCAAGUCGAGCGCGGGCAGGACUUCGGUCCUGUUCCGAGCGGCGCACGGGUGAGUAACACGUGAGUAACCUGCCUCGAAGUUUGGGAUAACCGCCCGAAAGGGUGGCUAAUACCGGAUAAGCCCCCACUGGCACAGGCCAGAGAGGGAAAAGCCUUGGCGCUUCGAGAUGGGCUCGCGUCCCAUUAGCUAGUUGGUGAGGUAACGGCUCACCAAGGCGAAGAUGGGUAGCUGGUCUGAGAGGAUGAUCAGCCACACUGGAACUGAGACACGGUCCAGACUCCUACGGGAGGCAGCAGUAGGGAAUCUUCCGCAAUGGACGAAAGUCUGACGGAGCAACGCCGCGUGAGUGAUGAAGGUUUUCGGAUCGUAAAACUCUGUUGUUAGGGAAGAACAAAGUGCCGUUCGAAAGGGCGGCACCUUGACGGUACUAACGAGAAAGCCACGGCUAACUACGUGCCAGCAGCCGCGGUAAAGUCUAG